GAUGAACGCUGGCGGCGUGCCUAAUACAUGCAAGUCGAGCGAACAGAUGAGGAGCUUGCUCCUCUGACGUUAGCGGCGGACGGGUGAGUAACACGUGGAUAACCUACCUAUAAGACUGGGAUAACUUCGGGAAACCGGAGCUAAUACCGGAUAAUAUAUUGAACCGCAUGGUUCAAUAGUGAAAGACGGUUUUGCUGUCACUUAUAGAUGGAUCCGCGCCGCAUUAGCUAGUUGGUAGGGUAACGGCUUACCAAGGCAACGAUGCGUAGCCGACCUGAGAGGGGGGUCGACGGCACUGGAAGGAAUGCGCGGUCGAGACGCCUACGGGAGGCAGCAGCAGUGAGGCAUCCGGAAUGAGCGAAGGCUGGACGGAGCAACGCCGCGGGGGGGAUGAUGGUGUUCGGAUCGUAAAACUCUGUUAUUAGGGAAGAACAAAGGUUGAAGUAACUAUGCACGGCUUGACGGUACCUAAUCAGAAAGCCACGGCUAACUACGUG
rnacentral:rRNA from 1 species